UACGUAGGGUGCAAGCGUUGUCCGGAAUUAUUGGGCGUAAAGAGCUCGUAGGCGGUCUGUCGCGUCUGCUGUGAAAAUCCAGGGCUCAACCCUGGACCUGCAGUGGGUACGGGCAGACUAGAGUGCGGUAGGGGGGAUCGGAAUUCCUGGUGUAGCGGUGAAAUGCGCAGAUAUCAGGAGGAACACCGGUGGCGAAGGCGGAUCUCUGGGCCGUAACUGACGCUGAGGAGCGAAAGCAUGGGGAGCGAACAGG
rnacentral:rRNA from 1 species